UUAACACAUGCANGUCGAGCGGUAGAGAGAAGCUUGCUUCUCUUGAGNUCGGCGGACGGGUGAGUCAUGCCUAGGAAUCUGCCUGGUAGUGGGGGAUAACGUUCGGAAACGGACGCUAAUACCGCAUACGUCCUACGGGAGAAAGCAGGGGACCUUCGGGCCUUGCGCUAUCAGAUGAGCCUAGGUCGGAUUAGCUAGUUGGUGGGGUAAUGGCUCACCAAGGCGACGAUCCGUAACUGGUCUGAGAGGAUGAUCAGUCACACUGGAACUGAGACACGGUCCAGACUCCUACGGGAGGCAGCAGUGGGGAAUAUUGGACAAUGGGCGAAAGCCUGAUCCAGCCAUGCCGCGUGUGUGAAGAAGGUCUUCGGAUUGUAAAGCACUUUAAGUUGGGAGGAAGGGCAGUUGCCUAAUACGUAACUGUUUUGACGUUACCGACAGAAUAAGCACCGGCUAACUCUGUGCCAGCAGCCGCGGUAAUACAGAGGGUGCAAGCGUUAAUCGGAAUUACUGGGCGUAAAGCCGCGC
rnacentral:rRNA from 1 species